UGAGGAAUAUUGGUCAAUGGCCGAGAGGCUGAACCAGCCAAGCCGCGUGAAGGAAGAUGGCCCUACGGGUUGUAACUUCUUUUGUCGGGGAACAAAAGGGAGGACGUGUCCUCCUCUGCGGGUACCCGAAGAAAAAGCAUCGGCUAACUCCGUGCC
rnacentral:rRNA from 1 species